rnacentral:tRNA from 1 species
AGAAAUAAAUAAUUAAAGCUUCUAACUUUAUAAAAAAUAUCUAUUAUUUAUAUUUCUA